UUAGUUGGACUCAUAUAGUAUAUAGCCUUUUCAGACCGGUGAUUCUUUCACUUAGAAAUGUGUGUUUAAGAGAGGAUUUGAUUUGGGGAAGACAAAAUAUCGACAGCUUCUGUCAGGAAUUUUGAGCAUUUAAGGAGCUGCAUCGCUCUGUCACUUCCUCCAGCCACUGGUCAGAUGCCACUUUCUACUGAGACCUCCUGACCACUCUGUUUACAGCUGUGCACCCCAGACAUGGAUGGUCGUGAUGGCAGCCCAACGUUGUGAAUGUACUCAAUGCCACAGAACUGUAUGCUUACAGAUGGCUAAAAUGACCUGAGACUACGAAAGUAGAAGGCACAGGACAAGUGUCACAGUCCGCUGACAUAUGAACAAGAGGCUGAGUUCUGCUUUGAGUCCUGCUCUUCAGUGGGAGUGGGGGCAUUUCAGAUCUGACUGGAUGCAAGAGGGACCGUUUCUGCUGGUGCUAUGCAUUUGGUUGGUGGCUCAGGGUGGAAGAGUGUGGCUGAGCUGGAGCUCGGGGCUCAGGUCCUGGAUGAGGAGGCCCCAAACACCAAGGAUGGAAACCAACUGAUCUAAGAACAGUAAAGAGAGCUGUGCACCCAAAAUAUUCGAUUCGAGUACAAUUUUCUGACACUGAAUAAGACCGUUGAUAACAAAUGGCACACGAACUAACACAUCACCUAAGAAACUGUGACAUACCCGGGCCCGAGGCAGCUGUUCUCAUGCAGGCCCCGGGUGAAGGUGCUCUCAAGGCCUUGGAGUGAAUGUGCUCUUCCACACAAGCUGUUAAAAAACUGUCACCAUUUCCAACUACUCUUCUACGUGAGUUGGGAUUUUCACUCCAGACUGUGCCACCAAAGCAAAUGACCAAAAGGAGUGGGUGUUGAGGCCAAUGCUCCACAAUGUCACCCAUGGCUCCCUCUCAGUCUACACUCACCAAUGGCCUCAGUGAUCUCACUGAGUGACUCUGGCAUCCCUGUAAACCUGGGAGGGAUGUGUGGAUGUACAUGUAGUUUACAUCCUAAAAUAGUGCUUUUGUCUGUUUUAUUCAUCAGGGCUCUGGGCAAAUCACUUGAUAAAAGGGUUCUGCUAGAAAAACUAAGCCUGGGGAUCCCUGGGUGGCGCAGCGGUUUGGCGCCUGCCUUUGGCCCAGGGCGCGAUCCUGGAGACCCAGGAUCGAAUCCCACGUCGGGCUCCCGGUGCAUGGAGCCUGCUUCUCCCUCUGC